rnacentral:rRNA from 1 species
AACGAACGCUGGCGGCAUGCCUAACACAUGCAAGUCGAACGAAGUCUUCGGACUUAGUGGCGCACGGGUGCGUAACGCGUGGGAAUCUGCCCUUGGGUGCGGAAUAACUUCUCGAAAGGGAUGCUAAUACCGCAUAAUGUCGUAAGACCAAAGAUUUAUCGCCCAAGGAUGAGCCCGCGUAAGAUUAGCUAGUUGGUGGGGUAAAAGCCUACCAAGGCGACGAUCUUUAGCUGGUCUGAGAGGAUGAUCAGCCACACUGGGACUGAGACACGGCCCAGACUCCUACGGGAGGCAGCAGUGGGGAAUAUUGGACAAUGGGCGAAAGCCUGAUCCAGCAAUGCCGCGUGAGUGAUGAAGGCCCUAGGGUUGUAAAGCUCUUUUACCAGGGAUGAUAAUGACAGUACCUGGAGAAUAAGCUCCGGCUAACUCCGUGCCAGCAGCCGCGGU